GACAAAAAAAAAACUAGGCGUCAUAUUUGUGAAUUUUCAUUUGGAAAGGGGCGCCACCAUCUUUCAUUGGUGAAAAAAUUUUGAUUUUUUUCUCUUAAGAAGACUUCAUGCUCAUCAUCAUCAUCAUCAAUCGUAUACAACUAAUGAAAUUGAAAUGAACAAACCAAUUGUAUGAGCUGCAGCACAGCUCGAACUUUUUACAUAUCACUAUGGGCUAUCCAAAAAAAAAAAAACUAUACAGCCAACAACAACACUACCAGAUCAAUGAAAAUGCUGUUUGUAUGUGUGAGUAUUGUGUUGUACAGGAACAAUAAUUCCUGGUUGUAAAUUUGAGUGGAUUCAAGUGUGGUUUUUGUGUGUGUGUAUGGCUGAUUAUUGUAUUGUCGUUGUGUCAUCAAAAUUUUUGUUUCAUCUGGCCAAAUAUAUCAAAAUAAAAAAAAAUUGAGCCUUUGGGCCCAGUAUUUGUUACGUUGACUUUUUAUUUAGAAAAAAAUUAAACAACCACAUUCACUUAUUGAUAAUUGAAUGUUUUAUUCAAGAUCAUCAUUAUCAUCAUCAUUGAAGCGACUAAAUUUUCCUAUUUUGUUUACUCGGGCUCGACUAUAUUUUUUGUGUGUGUGUGUGUUCCAUAUAAAUGGAUCUUUGUGUGUGUGUAAUUGUGUUUGAGGGAUUGUAUCAAGCCUCAUUUUAAUUAUUAAUCCCAACGAUCAAAUCACCACUUUACGACAAUUUUGUGUGUGUGUGUACGUGUGUGCUUUAGUUAAUUUGUUGUUGGGUUGGUUUGUGUGACUUGAAGAAUCAAUUUUGUUUUCUUUUUGUCGGAAUUUCAAUAGUCAAAUCGUCAAAUCAUCCACACUAAAACACAAAUAAUUAUACACCGAUUAAACAUCAAUUAUUGUUUAUUGUGCCCUUUCCCUCUAAUUCUUGGCCAAAAAAAAAAUACGAAUAUUUAGUCAAAUAACACAACAUUCAUAAAUUACAAGUCGUCAACCAAUCAAACAUAUUAAUGUCUAAUCGAUAAUCAAAUCCGAAAUAAGAAUUUUUCAAACUAUAGUAGAAUAAAUUGCCAAAGAUAGACACAACUUUCGAAUUUUUAUUGUCUACGUUUUUAACUGGUCUAGUUUAUUUCUUUCUUUUUAUUGAAUGAUUUUUUGUUUGUUUGUCCUGGUCUUUUUCAGAAAAAUAAAUCAAGUCUUCCCCUUUUCACAAUCAUGAAUAACCUAAUAUCGUCGAAUCAAUCAAUCGUUCUAAGUCAAAAUCGAACCUACGAAUCAUAAAUAUAGAUGCUCUGAUUUUAUUUACCAUCAUCCAUUUAUUUCCACAUUGAAUACAUUCAUCAUAAUCUCAUCGACUUUUUAUAACCGAAUAUUACGACGAUAAUCUAAUCCACAAAUAAAAAAAAAUACCUAGAAUAUUCUCUUUCUU